CGUUAAGUCCAGCACAUUGCUGAAUAUCAAUGAGUGAGGGGGGGAAACAGGCGUUAAUAAAAGGAUGAUUGUUGCCGCUGGCUGGAGUAGGCAGAGGCAUGGAUGGAAUUGUGCCCCUAUUUCAAUGCAUCUAUUGCACAUCAGCUGUAAGGGGUUGUAGCACAUUCCCAAGGGCUAAUUCUCUGGAUUUGUCUAUAGGAUCCAGUGGACAUAAAGAGCAGCGCAGAGCCUGAGCCAGAGCCGGAGCCGGAGGCAGCAGCUCUCGAACCCAGUCCUGUGGAAGCCGCAGAAGAAAACAACCCGUCAGAGGAGGUCAAAGCAACAGAAAAGACAGUUAUGAACUUUUUCAAAACAUUUGUCACUCCGACCAAAACAAGCAAAGAAGCCAAAGCCACUCCAGAUGCUUCAAAAGAGCAGGUACAGGAAGCACCCAAGGCACCUCCUCCUCCUCCCCCAGCACCACCUAAGAUGGAAAGCAAAGCAGAGCCGGUGGUGAAGAAAGAGGAAACGUCUUCAACAAAAGCAGUAGCAGCAGCUGCAACAAAAGCAGAGGGAUCUGCCAAGAGCAAAACCAAAGACAGUGCAUUAAGCAAACUCUUCCGUUCAAAGGUCGAUGCGUCUAAGACCAGCACUCUUGAGGCCGCUGCCAAACCUGAAGAACCUCCGGCGCCAAAACCAGAGGAGAAGAAACUAGAAAAGAAAUCCACUUUUGGAAACAUGUUCAAACCCAAGGUUCUGCUCGGCAAGGUGAGCAGCAGGAUCCAGGCCGCGGCGUCCAGCGCUGCCGCCAGCAUCUCCCACAUGUCUGCUGCAGCGGCACCAGAGCCCAAGAAGGACACUCCAGCUGCUCCUCCCGUGGCAGAAGCCGCUCCACCCGCAAAGGCCAAAGAGGAGCCGAGACCCACCACUCCUGCACAGCAAGCGGUCCCGGACAACAAAUCAGCCGACAGCACAGGGAACGCCUCCCCCAACAUGCCCCACAAGCUGGAGAAGAGGAACUCCCUCCAGCUGUUCUUCAAAAACCUGGGCCAAAAACGCCAUUCUGAUGCCGGAGUGCAAACGGACCCUGUGGCACCCGAGAAGGCCAAAUAAAACCCCGCCUUUGUUUUGAUCGCUCAUCUGUGCCAAAACCAUUGGCAGCCAUGCACAUAAGAACAUAUUUACCAAAGUUGGGAGGUAUUAUGCUGACUUGCAAGGCCCAAGUUUGAAGUAACUAUCAAAUAAUAAUCUGAAUUCCCAUGCAUUUAAUGAGAGCAGAAGUAAGUGUAACGAUUUCCCUGUUAAGCAAGUGCUACAUGUGUUUAUGACCGGAGGGAGGAACUCGUGUUGUUUUUCAGAGAGAAACGUGUCAGAGUUGCGUGGUGUGGCAUGAGAUGGAAAAGUGAAAGUGAAAAUGUAAUCCUGCAUUGAAGAUAAACUCCCUUUUUUAUGUGCAUGUUAAAAUGUAAAAUAUGUUAACUAUACUAACACUACUUAUAUUGCAUCACACAUUAAAGCCGAUGCAUUAAGAUGCCUUUUCACCGGGACAAAGAUAACAUCAUGCGCGUUUGCAUGUGAAAAGAAUUUAUUUAUGUAAUCAUACACUGUCAUCUGAUUAUGAAUACAAUGACCCAUCGUCUGCUGAAUUCAAUCACUGAAACCUACAAAGCCAAUUUGAAUUCCACUUAAAGUGCAAAACUUCUGAAUCACUUUAAUAAAUCCAUAGAAAUCACAAUUAUUUAUUUAACAUAAUGUCAAUCAAAUUGAGCACCAUAUAUUAUUACUCCAAAUUAUUCGGUUAUUUAAGUUCAGCCCAGUUUCUAUUUAAAAAAUAAUAAUUGUUUUCAUUUCUACAAUUGUUUAUUAAUCAUAACUUACUAACUAAACCACAUUACAAUUAUUGUCUUUUUAUUUGCUUGGCCGUCCAUUUCUGACCGGAGGAGACUAAAAAGAAAUUAAGCUAGUUAAAUGUUUUAUUUUCUUUCUUAUUUUCCGAACAUAUCAGUUGUUAUUAGAACAGUAUGAAAUAAAUAUGUGGUAUACAGUUAUGCAAUAUACAAUGUACAUUCAAUUUAGCUGCAGUCACAUGUGUUUUAUGAUUUUCUUCCUAAUUAUCGCUACAUUUGUAAAGAGUAGAUGGGCCUAAUUAAGAAUUCAGACUGUAUCCAUGAAUCUUAGACUUUCUGUAACUCCUUUGUUGCAUUUUUGUCUAUUUAACCAAUUUAUAAAAAUAAAAGAAUCAUUUCUCUCCUCUGUAAAAAUGACUCGUUCUGUAUUUACAGCAUGAAAACAUAGAUUUUAAAAUAUAUAGUUUUACAUUUUCCUGGGGGAAAAAAAGUGUUUGCUGGUGUAGGUUUCCACAUGGCUAUAUAUAUAUAUAUAUAUAUAUAUAUAUAUUGUAAUUAUGAUUUAGUUUACAGCUAAUUUCUUAAUAGUUUGCUUUGUUAAGUCUGAUAUUUCCAAAGAGGGCAUGUGUCCGGACCGCCUACAGGGCAGCACAAAUUUGGAAAACUAUUAACAUGGGACAAAAGAUGCAUGGUAUUCUAGGCACUUUUUGUGAGUGCAGUGUGCUCUUCAUGCUGGUGUUUUCCCG
ensembl:lncRNA